rnacentral:rRNA from 1 species
GUCUCAGGCCGUAUCAGCCUGAAGGCGCCCGAUCUCGUCUGAUUUCGGAAGCUAAGCAGGGUCGGGCCUGGUUAGGAUCUUGGAUGGGAGACCACCUGGGAAUCCCGGGUGCUCGAGGUC